UUUAAAUAAUCGGGUUAAUAGAUAUUCUAAUAUUUUUUAUACCCUAAAAUGAUUUGAUUGAAUUGGGUAUUGACAUCUAUUGUUAACGGGCCUAGUUGAGCAGCAAAGUGUAGGCAAUUGUAUUUGACUGAAGCCCGUAAUAGGAAGGGCCAGUUGUUGAUUAGGGUUUGCUAGGUCCCCUCUCUAGCCUAUAAAAAGGUAGGUUAUACCUAUCAGUUGCUUUAAUCCUAUUGAAAGCUGCUAUACCGAAAUAGGUCAUAAAGAGGAAGAUCUGGUAUUCCAAUAGAUCCCUGAUUAUCAGAGUGAUCUAGUUUUCUUCAAGUAAAGCAAUUGCUCAAACAGGUACGCUUUAAUUCCGCUAUAUUUAUUGAUCUCGGUGUUUUACAAUCAUGUAUGGAUCCGUUUGUUCUUAAUUGAUUAAUUGUUUAUGAGAAUAAUAUUCUACAUUAAGUUUAUAGUCUCCAAGCACCCCCACCUCCAGGGCAUAAACUUCGAUCUACCUCAUGUUGUCAAAAAUGGGCUUUCUUAUCCCGGUAAUUGAUUUUCGAACUAAAAUUUCUUACUUCCUCUAUAAACAUACAAAGUUCAAUGAAAAUUAUGCUGCAUAGAUUAAUUCUCUCAACGGAUCGGACCUUUCUAAUUCAUUUCAAUUCAUGUUAAAAACAUCUCGUUUGCUCCAUACCUGUUGAUUGCCUUCUUCCUAUAAUUAUGUCGCCUAUAUACAGUUGGCCCUUCUAAGGAUGUCUUAUGAAGCAAUGACGACGAAAUGAGACAACUAGUUUUUUAUGGCAGGUUUGGAGAAUGUAGGAGGGAGCUUUGUGGAUGAUCCCAUCCCAAAAGGAGACAUCCUCUUAACGAAGUUACUUUGGAUUAAUUGUUUAGCACUCAAGCUCCCGGAAAUGAGAUGAAAAGAAACGUUGGCAAUUCCAUAGUUUCACGGACGAGUUUGGCAUACAGCUCCUGAAGAAAUGCUGGAAGGCGUUGCCGGCAUCGGGCAAGGUGGUGAUCAUAGACCCAGUCAGCCCGGAAUACCCAGGGACGGACCUAGUGACCCGGGCCACGUUCACUUCCGAUAUGGUCAUGCUGGCAUUGCCUCCAGGAGGGAAAGAUCGGACGCUGAGGGAAGUCGAGGUCGUGGCCCACGCGGCCGGGUUCAGCUCCCCGAAAGUGGGCUGCCAGGUCCUCAACAUGUGGGCGCUUGAGCUAU